rnacentral:tRNA from 2 species
GUCGGAGUGGCGGAAUUGGUAGACGCGCAAGGUUGAGGGCCUUGUGGGCCGUAGGCCUGUGGGGGUUCGAGUCCCCCCUCCGACACCA